rnacentral:rRNA from 1 species
AACGAACGCUGGCGGCAUGCCUAACACAUGCAAGUCGAACGAGACCUUCGGGUCUAGUGUCGCACGGGUGCGUAACGCGUGGGAACCUGCCCUUAGGUUCGGAAUAACUCUCCGAAAGGGGUGCUAAUACCGGAUAAUGUCUUCGGACCAAAGAUUUAUCGCCUUUGGAUGGGCCCGCGUUGGAUUAGCUAGUUGGUAGGGUAAAAGCCUACCAAGGCGACGAUCCAUAGCUGGUCUGAGAGGAUGAUCAGCCACACUGGGACUGAGACACGGCCCAGACUCCUACGGGAGGCAGCAGUGGGGAAUAUUGGACAAUGGGCGAAAGCCUGAUCCAGCAAUGCCGCGUGAGUGAUGAAGGCCUUAGGGUUGUAAAGCUCUUUUACCCGGGAUGAUAAUGACAGUACCGGGAGAAUAAGCUCCGGCUAACUCCGUG